rnacentral:rRNA from 1 species
GAUGAACGCUGGCGGCGUGCCUAAUACAUGCAAGUCGAGCGAACAGACGCGGAGCUUGCUCCUCUGACGUUAGCGGCGGACGGGUGAGUAACACGUGGAUACCCUACCUAUAAGACUGGGAUAACUUCGGGAAACCGGAGCUAAUACCGGAUAACAUGUUGAACCGCAUGGUUCAACAGUGAAAGACGGUCUUGCUGUCACUUAUAGAUGGAUCCGCGCCGCAUUAGCUAGUUGGUAAGGUAACGGCUUACCAAGGCAACGAUGCGUAGCCGACGGCAGAGAGGGGUCGGCGACACUGGAACGGAGACGCGGUCAAGACGCCUACGAGAGGCAGCAGUAGGGAAUCUGCGGCAAUGGGGGAAAGCAUGACGGAGCGAGGCGGAGUGAGUGAUGAAGGCCUUCGGAUCGUAAAACUCUGUUAUGAGGGAAGAACAAAUGUGUAAGUAGCUAUGCCCGUCUUGACGGUAACUAAUCAGAAAGCAACGGCUAACUACGUG